ensembl:lncRNA
UGAGCCUUUGCCAUCGGGUGGGGGAAGCGAGAGCAGAGCCCCGUUAUCCCAGGCAGAUGGAAUAUGCAGGAGGGACAGCCUGUGCACCGCUCUGUAAUAACAAACACGAGCCUACCGAGCCUGCAUGGCUUAAUGCUGGAUGCCAAAGCCGAGAAGGAACCUUGCAUACAGCCUUAAUUUUUUUUCCCUGUGUGCAGGGAGCACGAUCCAGUUUUAAUAACAGCGUGCUGCACGUGCGUGUCUGAGGCCUCCGGAAAAAAACAUCUGCUGCCACUUCACGGUUUCUGCAGCCCCUGGCCAUGCUGCUGGAACCCGAGUCGGGCACAGCAGGGCAGCCAAGAGGCUGCUUGGUGCUCAGCAGCCUGCUCCCGUGGGAAGGAGGUGUGAGCCACCGUGCCCGUGGGCACCUAUCGGUCUGUCCGUCCCCGCUGUCCAUCCCCGUUUCUGAAAUGCUGGGUCACUUUCUGCUGGAUUUCGUAGCAUGGUCCUCAAAGGGAAUACAUUUCAGCAUGUUGUUCCGUUCUCUAAUUGUUUUGUGGGGAAAAAAAAAAAAGCAUCUGGGUAAACCUGAGAGAGCCAAGCUUUGGUCCCAGCUGAGGAAAUGGAUUCAGCCUCCAACUCACUCUAUUAUAAGACAUCAAAGAAUCCACACAGGAGAGAGCCAUUACGGAUGUCCCAAACCAUGGGAAAAGCUCUCCCGUGCCUGGCUAGCCACGUCAGAACUGCUGCUGGGGGUGAAAUCCAGAUGCUGGGCAAACCAAAUCCACACCAGGGCGUGUGCAGUGGAGCCUGGCACUGGGAGCUGUGCCUACUGGUGCCACUGUGAGCAUCCCUGCACCCAGAGGUGCCCAUCCCUGCACCCAGAGGUGCCCAGCAAUAGGAGCUCAGACAGAAGCAGCAGCACAUGUCCCAUGGGCAGUGGUUGCCCGCCUUGCCUGGGGGCAGGCAGGGUGGCAGGGCCAAUUUCACAAGCGGAUGACACCGAACAGUGACUCAUUCUGCUCCACGUGGUUUUUAAUUAACACUUGCUUGGCCCCAUCAGCCAAAUAAUUGCCUCCCUUCAUGGGUCAGCAAGCCGACAGCUCUGACCCCCAUUCCCACCUGGGUACAAUGUUUGGUGGCUGCACCUCACACUCCCCUGCAGACCCACGUUGAGGUUGAAGGGUUCCAGGCUUCUCCAGGGCUACUGCAGCACUGCUCCCAUCCCCGUCCUUUGGCUCUGUCCAUCCUCAUCCUCAGCCACCGUGGUGUGGUGAGGUGCAGUGGUGGAACACAGCUGCCCUCUGUGCUGCCAAAGGGACAGGAGCAUGUCCUCAGCAAGAGGAAUUUAAGCUGGGUAUUAAUAAAAGAGAUAUUCUGGUAGUAAAAUUAACACAGCCCUGGAGGAGACCGUAUUGAGCCAUCUGGAGAUCUUAAAGGAAAGGUUAGAUUAAAAAAAAGUCUGUCCGGACCAAUUUGGAGUAGGGAAGCGGACUGGAUGUCUUCCCAAGAGCUCUCCCAGGCUGAGUUUUUCAGAGUACACAUUCAUUUCCCCAAGUGGUAAGGCCAGAGAGCAGCGCGAUGUAGAGGCCGAGCAGGGCGUGAUUCCCAUGGAUCAAAAGCUCUCUUUGCAUUGGUGCUGGCAGAGCCCUUUUCCCCUGGCUGUGGGUCUGUGUCUGUUGGGAGAGGCAGACUUCGGAACCCAGCUUUCCCAGAGGCACAUCCAGCGGGAUGUGGGGCGGCACUGCAGCCAUCCUACAGCCGUGCCCAGAACACGCUUCUGCCACACUGCAGCUCCCGGUGCAUGGGCUGAGGAUGGGGAUGGACCAGGCAUGAGCCACCGAUCCCGUUGGUUGGUUCAGGAGGGUCUCGUGGACGCAGGGGCUGGGCUGGCGCUCACUGCAGGAGCCCCUCCAUGGGGUGGGGGCAGCGGGGGCUGCGGAGGACGAUGCGGUCUGUGAACAGACACCCUUUCUUCGUGGGAAAGUGCAGGGACACGAAGCGCCCGGACGGCCUUAUCUCUGGUUUUGAAAGCCACACGCUGAUCGUUUGUCAAGAUUAGCGCGUGCGGUAGAAGGGAUGGAGCUGUUCCAAAUCCACGCUCAAAUCUCUUCCCCGGGCUCGCGGCCAUUCAUAAAAAUGCCAGAGCAGCGGCGGCGGCGGCAGCACACGCUGAGGCUGGGGAGGGGUCAGCGGUGGGUUACAGCGCUCCGCUGGGGGCACACAGGUUGCUCUGUUGGUGUCCUCCUUCCAGCAGGGCUGGCAGGGCGGACUCAGUGAGGGCGAGAGGCAGGCAGGAGGUCCCACGGGUGGGACAGGGGUGAUGGGUUUAGAAAAGACUUUCCCAGCCUUUUCCAUUCCAACACACUGUUCUGAGGUCCGGAGCAACCGAGGAGCUCUGACUUUGGGAAACUGCACGGCUAUGGGGCUGUAGGGUGCGCUCAGGAAGGCUCUGCCAAAGCGGCUCUGCCAUAUCCUAGGUGAGGUCUGCAGCAGAAGGCGGCCUUGUGUGCUAGCCAAGUAAUUCCAUCCCUUCCAUGCUGCUGGAGGGGUUCAGAGGACUCCGGGUGGCCCUUUCCAUCUCUCCCGCACAAUGCUUUUGCCUAAGGACUGUCCCCAGUGUGAGAAAUGUUUAGCUAGAAGUGGAAGGAGUGGCAGCCUGGUGUUUUGGUUUAAGGAAAUGCUGCAAACCAAUGAAUCUGAUCGCUUCUCCAGGGCUUGGCUGGGUCCUGUGCCGAGAGCGGAUGCGCUUUGCAGAGCUGUGCCUCCGGCUCUUGGGAAGGUCCGUGUUCCUCCUUGGCCAUGUGCUCAGCUGGGCCAUCUCCUGCCUUUCCUUUAGCUGGUGGCAGCAGCCCAGGGACUUUGCCAUAAAGCCUUGCUCGAUGACCUCACCGCUGCACAUGGUGGAAGAAAAAUACCACAGGAGCGGAAAGAGAACACUUUUCCUUUGGGACCUGGGGAAUAGCGAAGGACACUAGUAUGAACUGACCUUAUUGCUGCCUUUUAGGAGCCGGUGCCAAGGCACAGCUGAGCUGAUUAUAACCUUCAAGCCCCGUCUCUGACCAUCCUGCAGAGCCCCGGGGUUGCCCGGCAUCCCACCCGCAGGAUCUGGAGCUGAGAGGAGGUUCAGCAUUGGUGUGCAGAGCCCAGGGGGUGAUGAACCCCACCGCCCCCAGCCCUGCCCCGUCCUCCGAGCCGAUCACGCGUGCCGCGUCUGCAUUGCAAGCGGCCAUAAAUAGCCGGCGGUGCUUUUUGCAGGCGCGGAGGAGCGGGGAUGAGCAUAACCCAUACCUGCUGGGCUGCCUCCAGCCCUGCUCGGCGCUGGGACCUCAUGGCCGAGCCUUGGCCGCUCCGCUUCCCUUUGCGAGCAGCUGUUCCUGCGCCCCGCGCCUGCCCUUGGCCUUCCGCGCUGUUUUGCUGCUCUUAUUCUCACGCGCUCGCCAAAGUCCCACUGACCCACCACCAAAACAACAGAAGGGGAGGAGAACUCGAUAUCUGCUGCAAGUGAAAUCGCUCGGGUUCGGGCUUGGAGGGCUUCCCGAACUCUCAAGGAAUUUCCUGAUCUCAGGAAUCUGCCAAACAUUGGGAUCUGCCUCAAUGGGAUGUUUGAGAGCGCACACUGCUGUGCUGUGUUUUGGGGUAUUGCUCUGUCUGAGCAGGUCGGGAAGGGCAGAAGGAAAGCCCCUCUGCCCGCGGGAACAUGAGGGUGUAUUUCAUCUCCUCGUGCCUCUAUUUUGGGAUGGAGGAGAGGUUUGGUUCUGAAAUCCCACACGGCUUCCCUGUGCCAGACCCAGGCCGUGCUGCAGCCCUGGUGCCAACAUGGAAACUUUGGUGCGGUUAUAACGCUGCGUGUCAGCGGUUCACACACGGACCUGAAAGCAAAGGCACGGCCCCAGGCCGACCAAAACCCUCUGCUUUCACCAAAAGCAACGCUGAGACGUUUGCAGCAGAAGGCAGCCCGACGCUUGCAGUGGGAGCUCGACACGUGUGUGUUUAUUGCACAGAUUUCGAGAGCAAACAAACUUCUGGGUGGGAAGAGCACAGCCCUUCCCCUCGGAACGAACUCAAAUGAAAUUCCUCAGCUUUCCUUUUUUUUUUUUUUCUUUUUUUUCCCUUCCCCAAAUUAAUGCUGGCUGGAUUUCCACCAGGACCUUUUCAACCAGCUUUAAUCUGUGAAAUCAACACUGAGUCAGGAAAUGCUGACGCUGGCUCUGAGAGCGGCUCGGCCAAAGCUGUUCUCCUAUUUUUGGGGGCAGCUGGCAAGAGAAGAAACCUCCUGGAGGAGCCCUGUCCUGACCUCCCCUGCUGCCCGGAGGGGCUCUGUCGUCUCUUGGUGCUUGAUCUCAGCCCCAGGAGAUCAGUGGUCCCACUGGGUCGUGCGUGAUGCUGGAGUCUGGGGGCAGCUUUUCCACGGCUUUCAGCAGGAUUUGGGCCAGGCCGGUGACACCUCUUAGCACUGGGGAAGAUGCCAUUCCAAAGGCAGCAGGUCAGGAUGGAGGCUUUUGGACCAGGUCUGGCACCAACCAGCCCGGAGUAUCUCUGCUCCUGAAGGUCCCAGAGAUCUCCAGCCCUGACAGUGGGGCCGGGGCUGAGCCUGGUCCAGAACGACCCACGGUGCCCCCCAACCCACCACACAUCACCUCUCCCUCAGCACCUCUCUGUGGCACAGUGAAAGUGCUGCCCGUGAGCGGAAGGAAAAGAAAACCCAGCGAGCACACCGGGGGAAACCGCCGCUGCAAAGCAAGCAGCGCGUUUAAAGGAGUGUUUGUCUGGGGUUUGUUUAGUUAUCCUCUAGGUAAUUUUACAGCUGAGAGGCUGGGGCUGUUCAGGCAAUGGCCAAAACAAUAUCCCCACUGUGUGAGCCGCCCUCACGGCUCAGUGCUGCUUGGGGGAGUCGUUCCUUCUGCCGGCCACAGCCCAAAGCCCCACGGAGGACGUCCCGUAAUUAAGACGUUGCUUGGAACGAGCAAGUCACCCGGCUGUCAGCUUGAAUAAACCUCUGGGGGCAAGGGGGGAGGAAGGGGCUUUGCUGGAAAAGCGCAGUCACAGUGUCUCUCUCUGCAGCGCUGGCACGGGACCAGGGUGCCUCUGGAUGAUGCUGGGGGGAGGUGAGGGGAUGCUCCCUGGGUCCCCGCCUCCCAGAGGCUGCAAGGUUUGGGUGCCCUGCGUGGACCGUGGGAUUUGUCUGUCCUGCCAGAGCCCCGUGGACAAGGGAAUGGGGUCCUGCACCCCUCCUCGCAGUGGAGAUGUGCACCGGUGCCCCCAGAAUGGGUUUUCCCCUUGCCCUGAAACCCCCACUCAAACACCCCUGCCUCUUCCCAAAGCCUCCCUCAGCCCAAGCUGGGAACGCGGGGGCCUGAGCCUCACAGCACUACGUGCAAACAACUCACAUCAGCUCCCAGCCCUGUUCCCAAGAGCCACAGCACUCCCGCUCGCAGCCAGGAUGCCGAUAUUUCACGCGGACAUGGCGAGGAACCAGAGCUGCUUCCCAUUCACGAGGGGUGGCUGCAAAACAAGCCGGGGAUCUGUCACAGCAUAUACGCGGCAUCUGUGCAAAUUGGCCUGGCUGCCUAAAUAACGCCGCACAUAUUUAUAAACUGUGAGAUGUAACGUUUUUUCCUGUUUACUUUUCGGUUGAAUUCCUCGCUCAUGGAAAUGAGAGCUGCAGCGCGGCGGCGAGACACGGCCAUUG